rnacentral:lncRNA from 1 species
CAGAAAUGGACAGACUUGAAGUCCAAGCACACACCUUUAUUGAUAUCUCUUCAAUUCUGUAUCCUGCCUCAUCUUCUUAGUCAACACAGAGAAGAAUCCAGGAAUGGUUAGUAGAGUGACACUGACGUGUAAAAUGCCAUCUACUGUUCCGGCAAUUUAAGACUUCAAAAAGCGAAGAGGGAAUUCCAAAGGAGUAGGCAGUAAAAUGGAAUCUCUGGACCCUACGCUCCUCUUCCUUCCUGUUCCACCUCCACACACUCCUUCCACCUUUGAAACGUCAGAUCCUUUUUUCCCAAUGAUGGCAUUGCCAGUUAAGGGAAAAUAAAGAGGCUUGUUUUGCAACUCCAAGAAUCUGAUUGGGUGAGAAUGAGGGCUUGCUUAGCUAUUAGAUAAGUCUUCUCUCAGGUCCUUCCUGGCUUGCUCUCUGACAUCCCUACCUUAUAGCUCCUGGAUGCAUUCAAUAUAGAUGCACACUUUGGAUUUGGGGACAGCAAUUUGUACACAUGCCACACAGAGAUCAUGGAAGAGAAAUGAAAGUGAUCACAGGUACCAUUAGGCCUAGAGAUUUGGAAAAAUGAAAUAUGUUCUAUAAAACUGAUUACUGCUUUGGAAGAGAUUUAAACUGUACCUAGAAAUCUGUUUCAUAGAUCUUAUUGCUGCUACAGAAGAGAUCUAGACCGUCCUAAAGGGCUGAACUCUGCUCCCACUGUGCCCACAGUGAUGCCACAGAUGGAUUGUUGCUGCCCCACCCGCCCCCCUGCUUACCCUCACCCACCCAACCCACUAUGACACACUGGCCGGCCCAGCCAGAGAUUAUAUAAUAGGUCCAGCUAUGCGUGCUUACUAUCAGUAAGGCAUUGCCCUUUCUGAUAGUUCUGACGUUCAGUUGGAAAUCUCUGUUGGGAUCAGAAGAAAUCUCAACUGGGAAGAGAAGGGGACGCUAUGAUGGAAGACGUUGGACAGAAUCCACUGGAUGAUGUGUAGCAGACGAUAUAAUUACCAGCAUUAGAAGCUGUAAAACAGAACCUUGACUGCCUGAAUUCAGACCUUGAAAAGGACCUGCAGAAACUGGAUAUGGAGAAUCAGGUUCUCCUUAGAAAGAUUAAAGAGAAAGAAGAAACUAUUUCAAGCCUGGAAAGAAAGCUGGCCUUGUCACUAGAAGAAGCCAAAGAGGAGGAGGAGUUGAACUAUGUCAUAGAUGAACAGGAGGAAUCCCUGAGGGAGCUGGAAUUAGAGACAGCAAAGCUGGAGAAAAGUAACGCAAUCCUAAGCAGGAAUGUGGUGGAGGUUCAGAAAAAGAUUUCAGGGUUAUUUACAAAUAUUGGCCUUGAAGAAGAAACCACAAAGCAGAUCCUGGAGGAAAUGAAGGCAAGACUACAGAAGUCAACAGAGUCCUGUGCAAAGCAAGAGGAGGAACUGGCCAAGGCAGAGGCAAUGUCUCUUCCACUGAGGGUCUGCCCGGGAUAGAAUGGGAGAGAAUCCCAAGGGUCUUAGAAACAGAUCUGCUUGAGGCAUAGGAGGGGGAGAAAUACCAGGAAGUUCUGAGGAAGAUGAAAGAGGAAAAGGAGACGCUGCUUCUUGAAAAACAAAUCUUUUCACACAGUUUGGAAAUUUGAAUGUCCUCUUUUGUGACAUGUCUUUCGCCUGCAUCUGUGAGAUGAUCCAAAGCCCAGGAUGACUCCUCUCAAACAGUGAAACCGGGAUCAAUUUUGGCAGACACCACCCAAAGAAACAUGGCCAGUUUUUCCUAUUCCAAACCUGGGUUUUCCUCUAUCCCUUCCCUCUCCUAGCUUCUCUCUCUCUCUCUCUCUCUCUCUCUCUCUCUCUCUCUCUCUCUCUCUCCCUCCUCUUUAAUAAUCCUAUAAUUAGGAAAUAAUGAGGUUUAGUUCCUACCCCACACCAUGGAAGCUAGGAGGUGGCAGAGCCAGAAUUCAAACCCAGGCAUCCUGACUCCAGGGUCUCUGCUAUUCUGCCUCUCUGUGAACACACGAAAAGCCAUAGCUGUGAUUUUUCAUUGCUUCCCACAGGAGAGGACCACCAUUAAGAAACAGGAGAGAAGGUGUUGGUACAAGUAUUUCCAGUAUCUCACCUUCAUGGUCUUAGUCUUUAUUAGGUUGCUGGCUUAUGUGAUUUUCCACCUGCAGUACAUAAACCCAGAUCUUCUCGUGGAUGUCCUGCCCCUGGUGCUGAGCAGGGGCACCUUGGAGAGUCUGAGGAAGGUCUCACAUCCCUUCCUCACUCUAGCAGUGGAAGAAGCACUACCACACUAGUCUGGGGUGACCUGGGGGCAUCACCCCACACCUGAGUGGAGGUGACCGUGGCUGUGGCCCCAUGUUGGGGAUGGCCAGGAAGGAUGUGGAAGCCUUUGACUCAGAGCCGCUACUUGACAUCUGAGUUUUUCAUUUCAUUCUUUCCCUGCUUUCCCUCUGGAAUGUCUCUCUUUCAAAUAAAGAAUAUGUUUGACGAGAGUCCACAGUGUUGGUCUGUGAAUUUAGUCUGUGAGUCCUGGGACCCCUCACUAGGUAUUCACAAGUUCCACCUUUUGCUGUUGAGAAAAGCUGCACUUAAGGCGAGAUAACAAAAACUCCCCUCAGGACUUCCAUUCUCUGCUCUAUAUUUUUAAAAACUUAAACCAUCGUAUACUUACCCUACCUGGGUGUGGUGGCACGCACCUGUAAUCCCAGCUACUCGGGAGGCUGAGGAG